rnacentral:lncRNA from 1 species
UCCGGGAAUUGGUGAUAGACAGGGAAGCCUGGAGUGCUGCAGUCCAUGGGACUGCAAAGAGUUGGAUAUGACUGAGCAACUGAACUGUUUUACUGAGUGUAACUAUCUCCUAAAAGCCCUGAGCACUUUCAUUUUUGCAUUUUAGGAAUAGGGGUUAAAAUAUCAUCCAUUGCAUGUGGACAUUGUAAAGAUAAUAUGAAGCAAUGUGUGAGGAGUACGCUACUGCAUGUUAGGCUGAGGGACAGGGAGUUAGGAUGCUCCUGAUUCUAAUGAAUUUGUGAAGAAUUGCCAUACCAAGGCCUGGCCUGACCACCUCCAGAUGUCUUCCACUUGAGAGAUAAACCCUCAAGUGUUUAAAUCAUUAUCAUUUUGAAUUCUUUUUUUUUUCCCCCACUGGGAGCCAAAUCCAAUCCUGAUUUGUUUCGUACAGGCAUAACAGCACAUAUUAUUUGAUGAACAUGCUGGAGAGGAAACAUGAAUCUUUGAGUACGGGGUUGGAGAGGAGCAAUCCUAGCAGUUCCCGACCUGUACCUUUCCAAGUUGGUGUCAUAUGAUCACGAGAGUCUCCCAGAAGCUGAAAUCCUCAGAAAGAACUGCAGCUGGUACUUAGAGUCUUCCAGCCCACAGUGGAAUCUCCCCACCACCUGUCUCCCUUGUUUCUCCCACUCUGUGCACCGUCCCUCUACUUGGAGUCUCCACCGAGAGAACAAUGAUAGGUGAAGAAAAUUGUUUCUAAGAUGAAUCUCUGAAAUAAGCUUUUCUUGGGGAACUGAAAACUUUGCAACCACCAGUGCUAACAUCUGCCUUUGGACCAAAAUAAGUAUAAAGAACAAACAUGUUAGUGUGGACUAAGCAGAGAUUUACAGUGACACCAAAACACCCAGAGACAUGAAACCUCUGCAACUUUCUUUCUCAAUGGCUUCCCAGAACUUUCUCCCAGUGGCACCCCAACUCUCUGAGGCACCUCUGACAAUACCACUGCAUCUUCAAUAGAAAAUAUUAUAUUGAAAAUGGGACUGUGGUGCAUAUGGAACAGUGGUUUCCACUAAAAAUUUCAUUAGCAAUUUUGAGGCCUUCAGCCCAGAGCUUUAUACUUUCCUAAAGCAUGGAAAAAGCAAGAGAGUUCCAGAAAAACAUCUAUUUCUGCUUUGUUG